rnacentral:rRNA from 1 species
GAUGAACGCUAGCGAUAGGCUUAACACAUGCAAGUCGAGGGGCAGCAUGGUCUUAGCUUGCUAAGGCUGAUGGCGACCGGCGCACGGGUGCGUAACGCGUAUGCAACUUGCCUCACAGAGGGGGAUAACCCGUCGAAAGACGGACUAAUACCGCGUACACUCUAUGUUGGGCAUCCAAUGUAGAGGAAAUGAAAUUCGCUGUGAGAUAGGCAUGCGUCCCAUUAGCUAGUUGGUGAGGUAACGGCUCACCAAGGCGACGAUGGGUAGGGGAACUGAGAGGUUGAACCCCCACACUGGUACUGAGACACGGACCAGACUCCUACGGGAGGCAGCAGUGAGGAAUAUUGAUCAAUGGGCGAGAGCCUGAACCAGCCAAGUCGCGUGAAGGAUGACUGUCUUAUGGAUUGUAAACUUCUUUUAGACGGGAAUAACAAGAGUCACGUGUGGCUCCCUGCAUGUACCGUAUGAAUAAGCAUCGGCUAACUCCGUG